rnacentral:rRNA from 1 species
AUUGGAAGGUUUCGGCCGGAAGGUUGAUAUUCCAGCGGCGGACGGGUGAGUAACGCGUGAGCAAUCUGUCCCAGACAGGGGGAUAACAGAUGGAAACAUCUGCUAAUACCGCAUAAGACCACGAGGUCGCAUGAUCUUGAGGUAAAAGGAGCAAUCCGGUUUGGGGUGAGUUCGCGUCCGAUUAGGUAGUUGGUGAGGUAACGGCCCACCAAGCCCGCGAUCGGUAGCCGACCUGAGAGGGUGAUCGGCCACAUUGGAGCUGAGACACGGCCCAAACUCC